rnacentral:rRNA from 1 species
GCGAGUGGUGUUGUGGCGGGCGUGUGAAUAGGAGGGGGUGGGGGGUGGUUUGGAAUUAGUGGGCGUAACGGGGGGGUAGGCGGGUUGGUAAGGCUGAUGUGAAAUCUAUGGGCUCAAGUCAGAGUCUGCAUCGGAAACGGGCGGGGUGGAGUAUGGGAGAGGUGAGUGGAAUUCCUGGUGUAGCGGUGAAAUGCGUAGAUAUCAGGAGGAACACCUGUGGCGAAAGCGGCUCACUGGACCAUAACUGUCGCUGAUGCACGAAAGCUAGGGGAGCAAACAGGAUUAGAUACCCGAGUAGUC